rnacentral:rRNA from 1 species
GAUGAACGCUGGCGGCGUGCUUAACACAUGCAAGUCGAACGGAAAGGCCCUGAUUUUGUGGGGUUCCCGAUUGGCGAACGGGUGAGUAACACGUGAGUAACCUGCCCUUGUCUUUCGGAUAACUUCAGGAAACUGGGGCUAAUACCGGAUAGGAUCUCCUGCACCAUGGUGGGGGUUGGAAAGUUUCGGCGGUAGGGGAUGGACUGGCGGCUUAUGAGCUUGUUGGUGGGGGAGUUGUUUACCCAGGCUUUGACGGGUAGCCCGCCUGAGAGGGUGACCGGCGUCCUGAGUACUGCGGGACGGAGCAGACGCGAACGGGAGGCAGUAGGGGGGAAUAUUGCACAGUGGGCGGAAGUGUGUGGCAGAGACGCUCGGGUCGUGAUGCCCGCUUUUGGGUUAAAAACAGCUUUCGGCUGUGACGAAGCGUGAGUGACGGUAAUGAGUAAAGAAGCACCGGCUAACUACGUG